rnacentral:rRNA from 1 species
UACGUAGGGUGCAAGCGUUGUCCGGAAUUAUUGGGCGUAAAGAGCUCGUAGGCGGUCUGUCACGUCGGCUGUGAAAACCCGAGGCUCAACCUCGGGCCUGCAGUCGAUACGGGCAAACUAGAGUACUGCAGGGGAGACUGGAAUUCCUGGUGUAGCGGUGAAAUGCGCAGAUAUCAGGAGGAACACCGGUGGCGAAGGCGGGUCUCUGGUCAGUAACUGACGCUGAGGAGCGAAAGCAUGGGGAGCGAACAGG